GGCCAGACUCCUACGGGAGGCAGCAGUGAGGAAUAUUGGUCAAUGGUCGGGAGACUGAACCAGCCAAGCCGCGUGAGGGAGGAAGGUACAGAGUAUCGUAAACCUCUUUUGUCAGGGAACAAAGGCGGGGACGUGUCCCCGGAUGAGUGUACCUGAAGAAAAAGCAUCGGCUAACUCCGUGCCAGCAGCCGCGGUAAUACGUAGGGGGCAAGCGUUAUCCGGAUUCACUGGGUGUAAAGGGAGCGUAGACGGCGACGCAAGUCUGGAGUGAAAGCCCGGGGCCCAACCCCGGGACUGCUCUGGAAACUGCGUCGCUGGAGUACGGGAGGGGCAGGCGGAAUCCCUGGUGUAGCGGUGAAAUGCGUAGAUAUCAGGAGGAACACCGGCGGCGAAGGCGGCCUGCUGGACCGUGACUGACGUUGAGGCUCGAGAGCGUGGGGAGCAAACAGGAUUAGAUCCCCCGGUA
rnacentral:rRNA from 1 species